GAUGAACGCUGGCGGCGUGCCUAAUACAUGCAAGUCGAGCGAACGGACGAGAAGCUUGCUUCUCUGAUGUUAGCGGCGGACGGGUGAGUAACACGUGGAUAACCUACCUGUAAGACUGGGAUAACUUCGGGAAACCGGAGCUAAUACCGGAUAAUAUUUUGAACCGCAUGGUUCAAAAGUGAAAGACGGUCUUGCUGUCACUUAUAGAUGGAUCCGCGCUGCAUUAGCUAGUUGGUAAGGUAACGGCUUACCAAGGCAACGAUGCAUAGCCGACCUGAGAGGGUGAUCGGCCACACUGUAACUGAGACACGGUCCAGACUCCUACGGGAGGCAGCAGUAGGGAAUCUUCCGCAAAGGGGGAAAGCCUGACGGAGCAACGCCGCGUGAGUGAUGAAGGUCUUCGGAUCGUAAAACUCUGUUACUAGGGAAGAACAUAUGUGUAAGUAACUGUGCACAGCUUGACGGUACCUGAUCAGAAAGCCACGGCUAACUACGUG
rnacentral:rRNA from 1 species